rnacentral:rRNA from 1 species
GACAGAGGGUGCAAACGUUGUUCGGAAUUACUGGGCGUAAAGCGAGUGUAGGCGGUCUGAAAAGUCGGGUGUGAAAGCCCCGGGCUCAACCCGGGAAGUGCACUCGAAACUGCCAGGCUAGAGUAUCGGAGAGGUUGGUGGAAUUCUCGGUGUAGAGGUGAAAUUCGUAGAUAUCGAGAGGAACACCGGCGGCGAAGGCGGCCAACUGGACGAAUACUGACGCUGAGACUCGAAAGCGUGGGGAGCAAACAGG